ensembl:processed_transcript
UAUUUUUCUGUUUCCUGUUUUGCAGCUCGUAUUCUUUCAGUAAAUACUGGAAUAUUCCCAUCAGUCUACAAGUGAAGACGAGCAUCAGACCAUCAGGAAGAAGAGAAAUCUGCAAAGACAGAGUUUAUUGAAGGACAGUGAGAAGAUGAGUGAUCCAGAACCCUGCAGAAUUAAACAGGAGGAGACUGAAGAACUAAUCGAUGUGAUGGUGAAGGAGGAGAAUGAAGAUGAGGAGGAACAUCACGUCAAAAGUGAAACUGAAACUCACACAGAUACUGAACACAGUCUUUUAACUAAAACAACAGACAUAGAAGGUUUGACCUGCACUGAGUGUGGAAAGAGUUUCAUCAGCAAAACCGCUCUUAAGCAUCACAGGAGGGUCCACACUAGAGGGAAACCGCACAAGUGUUCGCACUGCGACAAGAGAUUUAGCCGGCCAGCAUAUCUGAAUACCCACAUGAGGAUCCACACUGGAGAGAAACCUUACGAGUGUUCACACUGCGGCAAGAGAUUCAAUGAAUCGGGAAACCUGAAAAAACACGAGAGGACUCACACCGGAGAGAAAUCGCAUCACUGCACUGCUUGUGGGAAGAGUUUCAAAAGUUUAUGUUUUCUGCAAUAUCACACAAAGCUCCAUCACAGUGGGAUGGUGGAGGAGGAGAAUGAAGAACUGAGUGAAGAUGAGGAGGAACAUCAUGUCAAAAGUGAAAAUGAAGCAAAUACUGAAGAUACUUUAUUACCGAAAACAACAGGCAAGAAAUGUUUGAUCUGCACUGAGUGUGGAACGAGUUUCAUCACCCAAAACGAUCUCAAGAGUCACAUGAAGAUCCACACUGGAGGGAAACCGCACAAGUGUUCGCACUGCGACAAGAGAUUUAGCCGAUUAGCAUAUCUGAUUACACACGAGAGGAUCCACACUGGAGAGAAACCCUACGAGUGUUCACACUGCGGCAAGAGAUUCAAUGAGUCAGGAAACCUGAAAAGACAUGAGAGGACCCACACUGAAGAGAGACUGCAUCACUGCAACACUUGUGGGAAGACUUUCACAAGUUUAUAUUCUCUGCAAUAUCACACAAAGCUUUAUCACAAUGCGAUGGCGGAGGAAGAGAAUGAAGAGCUGAGUGAAGAUGAGGAGGAACAUCAUGUCAAAAGUGAAACUGAAACUCUCACAAAUACUGAAGAUACUUUAUUAACCAAAACAACCGGCAAGAGUUGUUUGAUCUGCACUGAGUGUGGAAUGAGUUUCAUCACCAAAAAUGAUUUCAAGAGUCACAUGAAGAUCCACACUGCAGGGAAACCGCACAAGUGCCCACACUGCGACAAAAGAUUUAGCCGAUUAGCAUAUCUGAUUACACACGAGAGGAUCCACACUGGAGAGAAACCUUACGAGUGUUCACACUGCGGCAAGAGAUUCAGUGAGUCAGGAAACCUGAAAAGACAUGAGAGUACUCACGCUGGAGCGAAACCUUACAAGUGUUCAUACUGCGACAAAAGAUUCAAUAACACACAUCCCCUAAAAAUACACGAGAGAAUUCACAAUGCAGAGAAACCGUAUCAGUGCACUGUUUGUGGAAAGAGCUUCUCAAGGUUAUCUUCUCUGCGAUAUCACACAAAGCUUUACUACAGAAAGAACGCACAGUCUACAGCAGUGGUUCCCAACCAUUGUUAACUCCUGGCCCGCUAAACCAAACACUUGUUUCUGGGUCCUAAUGUGAAUCCAAAUUACCCCAUUAUUUGUGUCGAGUUGAUAACUUACUUAGACAAAAGACUGUUACUGUCUAUAUUGAAUAUACUGACAAUGAUUUGAAUGGAUAAAACAAACAUAUUAGACCACAAAGAAACAGGAUGCAGAAAGCACUGCGCUAUACAUAACCCAUUUAUUUUAAUAAACUAUGAAAUAUUACUUUUCUUUUGCUGUCAACCAGUGCAAGAUUUUUCUGACAUAAGAAGUUGCAGUGACGAGUUAUUAAAGGAUUAGCUCACAUUUUUAAAUUCUGUUAUUAAAUGCUCACCUUUGCGUUAUUCCAGUCCACUAAGAUCUUUAUUCCGCUUAAUAUUAAAGCUCAAGCUUAUCAAUCUUGUUGGAAUAUCAAGCCCAUUCCAUGCGUGUUCAAUAAGAAAAGGUCAGGAGAGGGUUUUCUUCAAUGCCAAAAGUAUUAGUAAUUUAUUAGAUACAAAUGAAUAAUUUGAGGACAGAGCUCUGGGUUACGUUACCCC